GAGCAGCAGCGCGCAAUUACCCACUCCCGGCACGGGGAGGUAGUGACGAAAAAUAACGAUACGGGACUCAUCCGAGGCCCCGUAAUCGGAAUGAGCACACUUUAAACCCUUUAACGAGUAUCCAUUGGAGGGCAAGUCUGGUGCCAGCAGCCGCGGUAAUUCCAGCUCCAAUAGCGUAUAUUAAAGUUGUUGCGGUUAAAAAGCUCGUAGUUGGACUUGUGUCCCACGCUGUCGGUUCACCGUUCGUCGGUGUUUAACUGGCAUGCCCGUGCGGACGUCCUGCCGGUGGAUGCGGUCGACCGCGGGCCUCCGGUCCGCGCGUCGGCGGUCCGAUGCAAUCCUACCGCGGUGCUCUUCACCGAGUGUCGAGGUGGGCCGGCACGUUUACUUUGAACAAAUUAGAGUGCUCAAAGCAGGCAGUGGCUCGCCUGAAUAUUGUGUGCAUGGAAUAAUGGAAUAGGACCUCGGUUCUAUUUUGUUGGUUUUCGGAACUUGAGGUAAUGAUUAAUAGGGACAGACGGGGGCAUUCGUAUUGCGACGUUAGAGGUGAAAUUCUUGGAUCGUCGCANGACGAACCUAAGCGAAAGCAUUUGCCAUGGGUGUUUUCAUUAGUCAAGAACGAAAGUUAGAGGUUCGAAGGCGAUCAGAUACCGCCCUAGUUCUAACCAUAAACGAUGCCAGCUAGCGAUCCGCCGAAGUUCCUCCGAUGACUCGGCGGGCAGCUUCCGGGAAACCAAAGCUUUUGGGUUCCGGGGGAAGUAUGGUUGCAAAGCUGAAACUUAAAGGAAUUGACGGAAGGGCACCACCAGGAGUGGAGCCUGCGGCUUAAUUUGACUCAACACGGGAAACCUCACCAGGCCCGGACACCGGAAGGAUUGACAGAUUGAGAGCUCUUUCUUGAUUCGGUGGGUGGUGGUGCAUGGCCGUUCUUAGUUGGUGGAGCGAUUUGUCUGGU
rnacentral:rRNA from 1 species